CGGCGAGUGACUGGGAUGAGUCCAGCGCUGAAUCGCGGCGCCUCUGGUGCCGUGAGGUGUAGCGUAUAGGCCGUGAGUUUGGGCUGGCGCGUCCGUUCAAGUUUCCCUUGACCGGGGCUCCAGAGAAGGUGCAAGACCUGUCCAACGGGCGCGCUGCCAGUCCAUCUUUGCGUGUCUUGGAGUCGGGUUGUUUGGGAUCGCAGCCCAAAUCAGGUGGUAAACUUCAUCUAAGACUGAAUAUGACUACGAGUCCGAUAGCGAACAAGUACUGUGAAGGAAAGUUGCAAAGCACUUUGAAGAGAGAGUUAAAGAGGACGUGAAACCGGUGAGGUGGAAACGGACAGAGCUGGCGUAUCUGGCCUGUAUUCAGCCCGCAAGCGGUUGGCGCCGAGGCAAGUGCUUCCAGAUUGGGGCGCUGCUUUGCGUGCUGGCUGUUUGAGGGUGCAUUUGCAGGUGGAGUGGCGCCGAGGCGUUCGGUGCAGCGACAUGAUCUGGGACCUGAGGCCAGCCCGUUUGCGCGGCGCUGGUACCCGGUCUUGGGGAGUGUUGUUUGUGCUGGACGACAAUUGCUUUUGGGUGUUGGUUUCGAGCUGUGUUGGUGCCGAGCUGGCGGCGGGUGGCGGCCGCGUGCGACACGUAUUCGUUGUCGGUUCGGUUUCGGCGCAGUUCCCAUGCACUCGCCCUCGGUGUAAAAGCCGGUCAUCUGUCCGACCCGUCUUGAAACACGGACCAAGGAGUUUAGCGUGUGCGCGAGUCAUUGGGCGUUGAAAACCCAAAGGCGCAAUGAAAGUGAAUGUCUCCUCACGGAGCUGAUGUGCGACCCUGUGCGCCUCGGUGUGCGGGAGCAGCAUGGUCCCGUCCUGACCGCUUGCGGUGGGGCGGAGAAAGAGCGUGCGCGCUGAGACCCGAAAGAUGGUGAACUAUUCCUGAGCAGGACGAAGCCAGAGGAAACUCUGGUGGAAGUCCGAAGCGAUUCUGACGUGCAAAUCGAUCGUCUGACUUGGGUAUAGGGGCGAAAGACU
rnacentral:rRNA from 1 species